rnacentral:lncRNA from 1 species
UUCAAACCAAUAUCCAACAAUGGUUUUAUCAAUAGCAUAGUAACACAGAGAGGAAACACACAACACAGAAACAUGUGAUACAAUUCCAUCAAAUAAUAAUAAAGAAGAACAAGCCAAAUUGAGUCUCAAUCUUGAGCAUAGCAUAUAGUCAUGACCGUCUCUGGAUCGGAGCCAUAAUCAAGUCAUGAUCACAUCAAGCAAGGCACAUUAAGCACACUAGGCACAUCUGGGCAAGGCGCACCAGGCACAUCAGGUAGGGCGAGGCGCACUAAGCACAUCAGGAAAAGCACACCAAACACAUCAACAUUAGGCAAAGUGCAACACCAGAUUUUGGGCCACCGUGUCGUGUGAGGCAUUUUGU